rnacentral:rRNA from 1 species
GACGAACGCUGGCGGCGGGCUUAACACAUGCAAGUCGAACGGAAAGGCCCUGCUUUUGUGGGGUGCUCGAGUGGCGAACGGGUGAGUAACACGUGAGUAACCUGCCCUUGACUUUGGGAUAACUUCAGGAAACUGGGGCUAAUACCGGAUAGGAGCUCGUGCUGCAUGGUGGGGGUUGGAAAGUUUCGGCGGUUGGGGAUGGACGGGGGGCUUAUCAGCUUGUUGGUGGGGGAGUGGCUUACCAAGGCUUUGACGGGUAGCCGGCCUGAGAGGGUGACCGGCCACCUUGGGACUGAGGUACGGCCCAGACUCCUACGGGAGGCAGCAGUGGGGAAUAUUGCCCAAUGGGCGGAAGCCUGAUGCAGCAACGCCGCGUGCGGGAUGACGGCCUUCGGGUUGUAAACCGCUUUCGCCUGUGACGAAGCGUGAGUGACGGUAAUGGGUAAAGAAGCACCGGCUAACUACGUG